CAAUACGCAAUCGUUAUUCCGUAAAUAAAUUUCCAAACUGAUAAAACUGGCAUUAUUUGCGGUGAACUUUGCUGCCAAGACAAUGUAAAUUAUCGAACGAUCUUUCAACCUCCAGACAUUGUAUAGUUGAACUGAUUUCUGUUCAAGUAUACUUUCAUUCCAAUAAGGGGAAUGCUUCGUUGAAAUUGUCAAAGAGUUUUCCGGUGAUAGACUCGUCUUGAAAAAGACGAACUCUUCGAGGGAGUCGAUUUUCACGUCACGAGGGAUUCUUUGAAGAAAAUACAAUUUCGUCAGGUCAAAGGAUUAAAAUAAAGACAUCAGAUAUAUAGGAAUCGUCGUCGCCAAAACUUAACGCACCCGGAAAAUCUGCUCAAUUUUUUUCUUCUCCAUGAGGAACGAUAAAAAUAAUCCGUGAAUGAAUUACAAAAUCUGUCAAAACAACGACAGCCCCUAGGAUCACUUCGUUGAGGGAUGGUCAAAGAGUUUUCUGGUGUCAUAUUCAUCUUGCAAGAGCUAGUCUUUUUAAGCCACACGGUUUUCACGUCACCAACAGGGAUUCUUCAAAGAAAAUACAAUCUCGUCGGGUCAAAGAUGCAACAACAUUUGAGUGAAAGGCAACGAUGAUGGUAGAAACAAAAAAGAAUUGUUAAGCAUUCAACCGUUAUUAUUCCGAAUUCCGUCUGGAGACAUUCGCAAUAUACCAAAUAUUGAAAAUUAAUUUAUGUGCGAGCAUGUGCAUUAUAGAAAUAAUUUCCACGUUCAAUUGUUGUGAAUAAUCUUGCAAUUUUGGCCACUACCCGGGUAGCUGUUGACAAAUCUUCGUUCUCGACUCCCGAGCUCCAUGGUAAUUCGAAAAUGUUAUUCAGAAGAUAACUAUAAUUCAAAUUUCACAUUGCUAAUCCAUUUUUACGAUGUUUUAUUGCCAUCAAAGAUUUUUUAAACUCGAAUUUUUCAAAUUCUGCGCGUUAACGUAUUUACGCGAACUCUGCGGUUUCCAUUUUCCAGAUUGAAUGGAUUCAACUUCAAGACUAUACUUUGAAUAAUCUAGCUUUAAUAUGCCACCAAAGCAGAAAAAUGAAUUUUCACUUCCGUGCAAUGUUAUAAUGGUUUUUGUUAUAUCUCGCUUUCAACGAAAUUUCUUGCGACAGCUCAAAUUUCGGCGUUGAAAAGUUUGAGUAAAAAAAUAAAAAAAAAAUUACAUGACUGCUAUAAAUUUGGAGUAUUAUCAAGCCAGCAUCGAAUUCACUUCAGAACUUUUUCAACUCCCUAUGAAUUAUGACGUUCAUUUCUGCCUAUGAAUAUCAAGUGUGUUGCGGCUAGAAAAAAUCUACGAGAUUAUAUUUUAUUUAUCUUUAUUAUAAGAAUUAAUAUUUGUAAAAAAAGCUUGUGAUAAAGAGUGACCACUAUUCGAUCUUUAAGCUAAA